GGAGUGCGGCGUGCUAAUACAUGCAAGUCGAGCGAAUGGAUUAAGAGCUUGCUCUUAUGAAGUUAGCGGCGGACGGGUGAGUAACACGUGGGUAACCUGCCCAUAAGACUGGGAUAACUCCGGGAAACCGGGGCUAAUACCGGAUAACAUUUUGAACCGCAUGGUUCGAAAUUGAAAGGCGGCUUCGGCUGUCACUUAUGGAUGGACCCGCGUCGCAUUAGCUAGUUGGUGAGGUAACGGCUCACCAAGGCAACGAUGCGUAGCCGACCUGAGAGGGUGAUCGGCCACACUGGGACUGAGACACGGCCCAGACUCCUACGGGAGGCAGCAGUAGGGAAUCUUCCGCAAUGGACGAAAGUCUGACGGAGCAACGCCGCGUGAGUGAUGAAGGCUUUCGGGUCGUAAAACUCUGUUGUUAGGGAAGAACAAGUGCUAGUUGAAUAAGCUGGCACCUUGACGGUACCUAACCAGAAAGCCACGGCUAACUACGUGCCAGCAGCCGCGGUAAUACGUAGGUGGCAAGCGUUAUCCGGAAUUAUUGGGCGUAAAGCGCGCGCAGGUGGUUUCUUAAGUCUGAUGUGAAAGCCCACGGCUCAACCGUGGAGGGUCAUUGGAAACUGGGAGACUUGAGUGCAGAAGAGGAAAGUGGAAUUCCAUGUGUAGCGGUGAAAUGCGUAGAGAUAUGGAGGAACACCAGUGGCGAAGGCGACUUUCUGGUCUGUAACUGACACUGAGGCGCGAAAGCGUGGGGAGCAAACAGGAUUAGAACC
rnacentral:rRNA from 1 species